GACGAACGCUGGCGGCGUGCUUAACACAUGCCAGUCGAACGGAAAGGCCCUGCUCUUGUGGGGUUCUCGAGUGGCGCACGGGUGAGUAACACGUGAGUAACCUGCCCUUGUCUUUGGGAUAACUUCAGGAAACUGGGGCUAAUAUCGGAUAGGAGCUCCUGCUGCAUAGUGGGGGAUGGAAAGUUUCGGCGGUUGGGGCUGGACUCGCUGGUUAUCAGCUUGUUGGUGGGGUAGGGGCUUACCAGGGCUUUGACGGGUAGCCGGCAUGGGAGCGGUGACAGGCUCAUUGGUACUGAGAUACGGCCCAGACGCCAACGGGAGGCAGCAGUGGGGAAUAUUGCACAAUGGGCGGAAGCCUGAGGCAGCAGCGCCGCGUGCGGGAUGACGGCCUUCGGGUUGUAAACCGCUUUCGCCUGUGACGAAGCGUGAGUGACGGUAAUGGGUAAAGAAGCACCGGCUAACUACGUG
rnacentral:rRNA from 1 species